GUGGGACUAAGAGAAAAUUUAGAGGAAUAAAAGUAGACAUGGUGCUGGGACAGAGUCAUUUAUAAUUGAAUAGGAAUCAUACACCAUGUCUGCCUACUAGGGAAAGCUUUCUAUUUCUUGUUACACAUUGUCUGCCCCCUUGUGGUCAUUAACUCAAACUGUCAAAUCCUCAUAAGCAUUAACAGCCGUUUAUGUUGAGUCCUGAGAACAUUUUAUUUACAACAUUCGUAAGAGCAUUUUUUACAACAAAAGCUGGAUUGAUUUUAGCAGUAUAUUGAUCUCAUUUUUAACUCUUAAAUUAUUUGCCGUCAAUUAUUACCCACCGAAUAAGAUACAGUCUGUCCAAUCUGAAAUGAUUCUGACUUUUGGUCCAAAGAAGCACAGGUACAGAACGUGAUUUUGUUAAUAUAUGUAUAUAUAUACUGAAUACACUAUUCACUAUAUAUACAAAUAUUUAAAAAAAUAUCUCGUCUUGUACCUGUGCAAAGAAGUUGAGCAAAAUGCAGAAUUACCUCCCCUGUAAUGGCAGCCACCAUGUAAUUUUUUGAAGUCCGGGGAAAACAACAAAAUACUCAAUGAAUAUGUAAUAGAAAUACUUAAAAGAUUGCAAAUAUCAUAAACAAAACAUCGUCUAGAGGUUUUAAUUAGUUCAAAAACAUUUAUUACGCAAUUUUCAAUCGUGGUAUUGUGACAUAGUUUCAUCGCUUCAUCGUUGAUAUUUUUGUGUACAUGUUACGUCAUACAUGUACAU
rnacentral:lncRNA from 1 species